rnacentral:rRNA from 1 species
UACGUAGGGUGCGAGCGUUGUCCGGAAUUAUUGGGCGUAAAGAGCUCGUAGGCGGUUUGUCGCGUCGACUGUGAAAACCCGAGGCUUAACCUCGGGCCUGCAGUCGAUACGGGCAGACUAGAGUUAUGCAGGGGAGAACGGAAUUCCUGGUGUAGCGGUGAAAUGCGCAGAUAUCAGGAGGAACACCGGUGGCGAAGGCGGUUCUCUGGGCAUGAUCUGACGCUGAGGAGCGAAAGUGUGGGGAGCGAACAGG